AUGUUCACGUGUUUGCUAACUCCAGAUACGUGCACAUUGUAUCCUGUAAGAGCUUCCCUUCCCCCUCCCCACCCCACCCAAGCCAUUGAGUCCACCGAUCAACAACAGCACCAACAACGUAAUACAGAGGCGAUUCGUCGUACGAGUACACACUCAAAAGCUUCGCGCGCGCACGCCCACCAGAAGAAGAGAAAGAGCUCAACCCUGUUCGCUGCAGGGGCACGCUGAACACUCCCACACUCGCACGUAAAAGUACAGACUUUUAAAUCCAUGUCCUACGUUGUGUACGCGGUGGAGAAUGCGGAUCGGAUGAUCCUGAUGGGUCCGACGGUGGCGGACCAGCCCACCUUCAAGGCCAUCACGCUUAGCUACAUUCAGGCGCCAAAGCUGGCACGCCGCACGGCCUCUGGCGACUUCACGCCGGAGGAGCCAUACGCUUACGAGGCGGCCGAGCUUAUCCGCUCCACCUUCAUUGGCAAGCAGGUGCAGUUCGUCGAAGACUACUACAUCGAGGCAUUGCAACGAAGCGCCGGCCGCAUCAUGGGCUCUAACCACCAGGAAGCUACGGGCAUGCUGCUCAAGGAAGGCUUGGCCACGCUGCCCGACCGUAUGCCGCCGCGUAUAGAGAAGGAACUGUACGAAAUAUACUCGCAGAUGUCCGCAUCAGCGCGCGCGGCCCGCAAAGGUCUCUUUAGCGGCGAUAGUGCCAAGCACGUGCGCCACAUGAGAUCGUAUGCCCCAGAGGAGCUCGCAGAGAAAAUUGAGGGCGUCAAAGGCCAGCAGCUCUUGUCGCGCGUCGAGAAAGUGGUGUCGCCGACGCUGCUCAUCAUCUCCGUCAAGGAGCUAGGCGACACGCAGUUCGCAGCCCAUCUGACCGGUGUCACCACAAAGGACAACGGCGACGAGUCCAUCAACGCCGAGGCCAAGUUCUUUGUUGAGCGUCUGCUGCAGAACCGCAAUGUGAAGGUGCGCUACGACGGCCUCGACGGGUUCAACAACGUCAUGAUUUCCAUCAUGUCCCCAAAGGGCUCCUUCCAGGAAGAGCUCCUGUCCAAGGGCUACGUCAAGGUUCAUAACAUGACAUUGCCGCUCUCCACCCGCAUCGACGAGAUCGCCUCUGCCGAGGCUGCCGCCAAGAAGAAGCGCGUCGGGUGCUGGAAAAACUACGUGGAGCCAGUUGUGAUCGCUCCGACCGAAACUGCCAAGGACGACAACGGUGCCUCCGCCCCUGCUGCUAACGGCGAGGAGGCCCUGGUCGACUCCAAGGCCCCUGCGGCACCCAAAGUGGCCGGUCUUCCGACCACGCUGCCGGACGGUACCCCCGGCCCGGUGUACACGGGGCCGAUCGAGUUUGUUGGCACGCUGGUGCAGGUGGUGCACGGCGACACAGUCGUUGUCCGCGACGACGCCUCUGGUCGCCUCUUCCGUGUCUCUCUGGCUGGCGUGCGCAGCAGCAAGAACAUUGACCGCGACCAGGACGGCAACUCGCCCGAGACGCGCGUUACGUACCGCGACUACUCGUGGGAGGCCAAGGAAUUCCUGCGAAGCCGGUACAUUGGAGCGAAGGUGGUGGUGCUCGUCGAGUACGCGCGUGUGAUGCCGGAGACGAAGGAGAUCCGCCCCGCUGCAACGGUGGAGGUGAAGCACACGGGUGUCAACAUUGGUGUGGCGCUGCUGGAGACCGGCUACGCUACCUUCUUCCUCGGUCGAAACGACAAGAACUCCAAGGCGAGCGAGCUGGCCGCCGCCGAGGAUGGCGCGAAGGAGGAGAAGAAGGGCAUUCACCGCGACACCCCUGCGCCGCCGAUGAAGGUAGUCGAGCUGAACCAUCUCGGGGAGACGCGCAGCCGCUACUACCUCAGCUUCCUCCAGCGCGGUAUGCAGGGUAGCCGGCCGCCGUCGCUGAAGGGCGUGGUGGAUCUCGUGCUCGGCCCCAGCUCGCUGCGCGUGUACAUUCCGAAGGAGAACUUUCAGAUCCCGGUCAAGGUCGCCGGCAUCGUGACGCCGUCCGCCGCUUUUAACCCAAACGAGAAGGCGGACCCGUUUGCGCAGGAGGCGAAGGACUUCGUGAUCGACCUCGUGCAGCAGCGCAAUGCCACCAUCCAGGUUUUCACCUCCGACCGUGCAGGCAACUUUAUCUCCUCUGUCACCCUGGAGGACGGCACAAACAUCUCCGUCGCGCUGGUCGCCGAGGGCUUCGCGACGGUGGCGAACGCCGACCGCUUGCCUUUUGCGCAACAACUCGUAGACGCGGAAGGUGCCGCGCGCGAGGCGAAGAAGCACAUCUGGUCCGCCACGGGCGCCAUCCCGCAGCGUGCAGUGAAGAUGGAGCAGGAGCGCGCCGCCUCCAACCCGCAAGCGCUGGCCCGCGUUGUCGACGAGACGUCCAAGUUCGCGCCGUACAUGAUCACCGAAAUCGCCGACGACGGGCUGUCGGUGUACUUGCAGGGCUACGACGCAGAGCAAGACAGCAGGAAGGGUCACAUCCAGGAUCUCAUCAACCGCACCGCCGCCGGCGAUGGGCACACCCCCAAGAAGGGUGAAAGCGUGAUCGCCCAGUACAGCGGUGACAAGACGUGGUGCCGGGCCACAGUGCUCAAGGCCCCACGCGACGACAGGGCGGAGGUGAAGUUCAUUGACUUUGGCAACACCGAGACCGUGCCGGUGAAGAACAUCCGCGCCGUGCCGCGCGGCCCCGAGUACGCGCUGGUGCGCGACACGCCCGCGUUUGCGAAGCUGGCCCGCCUUGCCUACCUCAAGUCUGGUGAUGCGAAUGAAAUGCUCGCUGGCGCCACCUACGCAGCCGUAGAGGAGUACUCUGACGGUGAGGUUCUGGCGAAGGCCGUGUACCGCGACGGCCUUGGCAACGUGUAUUAUACCGUCACCACCAACGCGAAUGUGCCCUCGCUGAGUGAGACGCUGCUGCAGCGUGGCUUGGCUCUGCUGGACCGCCGGGCCUCUGCGGUGGACGCUACGGAUUAUCGCCGCCAUGAAGCUGCGCAGGAGAUCGCACGUAAAGGGCACAAGAACCUUUGGCAGUACGGCGAUAUUGACGAGGCUGACGUCGACUACUAGAGGGGUGCCGUACACGCGCGCACACACAAGCACGCGCACAGUUUCACACAAGCCCCUCCGCUAGGGCUUCUUUCCUUUUUUGUCUGUGCUUCUGGCUCCAGGGAGUGAGCGCCGAGUGCUGCCGAACGUCUCCGGGUGAGAUCGGCAAGAAUGUGUGACUUUUGUCUGUGCUUCUUACGACGAUGGUGUCUGCAUGCGUGCGUGGCGAAACCUCAGCGACUCUUUUGCCUUCACCGCGCCAGCCCUCUCUAUUCCUCUCUCAUAUGCGCGUUUGCCCUCUACUGUCUGUGUCUGUAUAUAUAUACACACACACACACACCUGUGUGUUUGCCUGUGUGUAUUUGGACGGGGUGUGCGUGUGUGUGGAUGAGGUUUCUGUAUUUUUUUGUGCGUUUUCGUUUUCCACAUGGGCGUUUCUUCUGUUUUACUUUUCUCUUUUUCUCUAUGGAUGCUCCCUACCACCCUUAAUGAUUCCCUAGUGUUUGCUCUUUGUCAUUUUUUUUUUUGCGUGCGCACGCGGUAUCGCUCGCUGAGAGAUUGUGUUCGAUGUCGCGUGCUUGUACUUCCUUGUCUCUCUUUCUCAGUGUCUCUGUAGAGGGAUGCGGGUUUGGCUGGACAGCAGGAUUCACUGUCAUGCGUCGUAACUCACGUGCCCUUCUGCGUGCUCUCACCACUUCACCCUGUCUCGCUGAUGUCUCCAUCACGCUUGUUUGUGUGCCUGAGUGUUUCCGCUCGCGUCCUCUACCGCAUGCGUGAGGGUUCAGCGACGGAAAGCUUACUCGCACGCGGGUUGUGUGGCUUUAGCCGCCCUGCUUGUCAACUAGGUCGGUUUCACGUCCCUCUCUCCCGUCCGCGUUGCCUUUUCUGUAAUUGGCGUUUUUCUUUCCUGUGUGCAUACGUCCGUGCUGUUUGGCCUCAACGCCCGGUGAUGUGUUGGCGACGUGAAUAAUAAAUGUGUCUUUCUUUUCUCCCCGUCAUGAGCCCUGCGGGAGGCGAUACGUGCAGCCGGGCAGCGAGGUACAUCGCCCCUCCCUCGAUCUCUCCAGCCUUUUAUCUCUUUAUCUCGGCUGGUCAAUGGGCAACGUGGAGAUUCCAUGAGCUGGCGUCCGAAAGAUGAGCGCGUACCAUUUCGAUUCACGACUUGCGUCAACUUAACCGACACGUGCCGCAUGUGGUGGUGGUGUUGCGUGGAUGUCGAUGAUGUGUUCUGCGUUCUUUAUCACGAUCUGAAAGGGAGUUUACCUCCUCCACCCUUUUCCCUGCACAUUAUCUACGCGCUUGUUUGCGUGGGCCUCUGCAAGCCGCGCAUGGGCUGGCGGGCGGGGGCGUGUGCUGACAGCCUUUUUGUGCGCAUGAGGCAAAACAAAGCAAACAGGCACCAAGACGAAGGUGGAACGAGCGAGCUGUGCAAUGACUGCUGUUGUAGCGCAUUAAUGCCGAAACGCGUAACAGAGGACCUGAUGCGACUCCUGCCAACCGCGUCUCACUGCGCUGUCGCUGUAUUUUCUCACCGUGGUCGGUCUUCGCGCCAUCGAGGAACCCUCUCCCCUCUUUGCUUCGUUCGGUGAACGCAGUGGUAAUGACGGUGUGCUUUGUGAGGUGCGAAUUUGAGGAGAGGGGUGUGUGUGCCCCGUACACACGCAGCAGGCUCUGCGGCAUAGUCCAGGCACCCACUAUUUCUGCCCUGUCCUCAUCCUAUCACAACAACGAAAUAAUGUUGUGCACUCUCUUUGUGUCUUCGUGUGCCGUAUCCUCUAAUGUGGUGUUUGCUUCCUUUUUUCUUCCUCUCUUGACUGCCCCCCCCCCCAACCCCGGGUGACGGAGGGGGGGACCUCAAUGUGUGGUAUCUGAG
rnacentral:misc_RNA from 1 species